rnacentral:rRNA from 1 species
CGCAGCCGCGGUAAUUCCAGCUCCAAUAGCGUAUAUUAAAGUUGUUGCAGUUAAAAAGCUCGUAGUUGAAUUUUAGGCCUGGCCAGGCGGUCCGUCUUUGGCGAGUACUGUCUUGUGUCGGGUCUUCCUUCUAGUGAACCUGUAUGUCCUUUAUUGGGUGUGUUGGGGAGCCAGGACCAUUACCUUGAAAAAAAUUAGAGUGUUUAAAGCGGGCUUUUGCUUGAAUAGAUUAGCAUGGAAUAAUAGAAUAGGACGUUGUGGUUCUAUUUUGUUGGUUUCUAGGACCACCGUAAUGAUUAAUAGGGAUAGUUGGGGGCGUUAGUAUUCAAUUGUCAGAGGUGAAAUUCUUGGAUUUAUUGAAGACUAACUACUGACGAAAGCAUUUGCCAAGGAUGUUUUCAUUAAUCAAGAACGAAAGUUAGGGGAUCGAAGACGAUCAGAUACCGUCGU